rnacentral:rRNA from 1 species
UACGUAGGGGGCAAGCGUUGUCCGGAUUUAUUGGGCGUAAAGAGCGUGUAGGCGGUUAGGUAGGUCCGUUGUGAAAACUCGAGGCUCAACCUCGAGACUCCGAUGGAAACCAUCUGACUAGAGUCCGGAAGAGGAGAGUGGAAUUCCUGGUGUAGCGGUGAAAUGCGCAGAUAUCAGGAAGAACACCCGUGGCUAAGGCGGCUCUCUAGUACGUGACUGACGCUGAGACGCGAAAGCGUGGGGAGCGAACAGG